rnacentral:rRNA from 1 species
UACAGAGGGCGCGAGCGUUGUCCGGAAUCACUGGGCGUAAAGGGCGCGUAGGUGGCCACUAUAAGGCCGCGGUGAAAGUUCGGGGCUCAACCCUGAAUCUGCCGCGGCGACUGUAGGGCUUGGGCACUGUAGAGGCAGAUGGAAUUCCGGGUGUAGCGGUGGAAUGCGUAGAGAUGUGGAGGAACACCGAUGGCGAAGGCAGCCCCCUGGGCUAACACUGACGCUCAUGCACGAAAGCGUGGGGAGCAAACAGG